UAAUCUGUUAUUAGUCGUUAUACGAUCACAACCUAUGUAUAAAUACGACUGCGCAAUGACAAACAAGAAAUAUUAUUUCUAUCGACAUUUUGGAUCGAGGAGAUUUAACUAUGACUUGUAAUUAAUAAUCUUACAAUUAGACUAAAGACACAAUGUGAAAUAUUUUUAAAUGUUAGAUAUAUACCAUAAAAUAUACCAUUCCAUUGAUGGGUUAAUUACACUUUUAUACUCGGUUAUGUAAUGCCAUUGGACAAUAAUACUACAACGCGGACGAGAAAAGUAUCAUUUAAUGUGAAAGGAAAAUCAACUAUUCAAGGUAGCAUUCCAGAGGAAAAUCAAUUUUUGACAAUAGCAGCUGCUUUGCCAAUUUUACCAGGUGCACCAAUACCUCCCAAGUUAUCAAAACGUUCUUAUAAUUCACUUAGUUCUACUGGAACUCAAUUUGAGAUUGAACAUGGAGAAACUGAAGGGUGCGAUGUGGUUACAUUACAAUGGACAAGAGAAGCAAGAACAAUUGUGGCAUCAAGAACUCCUGCCGAAAGAGAAAAGAACCCUGACAGAAUAUGUCUCGAUAGGCGAGGUUUGACAACAUUUCCUAAUGUGAUUGGGGAGCCAAAAUUGCGAUUAAUGUCCCUUCAGCAUAAUCUUUUGACUAAGAUUGAAAGUUCUAAUUUCUCUCAAUUGACAAAGCUUGUAUUUCUUGAUUUAUAUGAUAAUCAAAUUGAAAAAGUAUGCAAUCUGGGGCUUUUAGAAAAUCUACGAGUGCUUUUAAUAGGGAAAAAUAGAAUCAGAAAAAUUGAAGGUUUAAAACAACUUUUCAAACUAGAAGUCUUAGAUUUGCAUGGCAAUCAAAUCCAACAAAUAACUGGCCUAGAGGAUUUAUUAUUGUUAAAAGUACUCAAUUUAGCAGGGAAUAAUAUUAAAAUCAUAGGUUGCAAUGACUUUCAAGGCUUAACUGCAUUAAAAGAGCUGAAUCUACGACGGAAUAAAUUAAAAAAAUUAUUAGGAUUUGGUCAAACACCACAAUUACAAAAAUUAUAUUUAAGCAACAAUGAUAUUCAUAAAAUUGAAGAUAUGUGUAGUCUUGCAAAAGCUUUGCAAAUUAAAGAAAUAACCAUUGAUGGCAAUCCAGUAACUUUAAAUACUGAUUAUAUCUCUUUCCUUGUAUCAUAUUUGCCAAAUCUACAACUUUUAUCAACAAUGCAAAUUAGUGAACAAAUUCGGAGAACAGCAAUGGCUUGGAGAUUCUCUAAAGAGCAAUCUAAUUCAGCGUUUCUUGAUCUUAGUGCACAGGUUUGCAUGAAUGUACGUAGAGAAGAAGUGAUAUCAAAUGCUAAAACGAAUUGGGAAUUUCUUAGAUCUAGAACCAAAGUUUCUCUUAAUAAUUCCAAUAAAACAGCAAAUACAAGCAACAAUGUUAACGUAUUACAUAUGCAAAACUCUAAUAAAUUUCAUACUGUAAAUCCAAAGAAUUUAGAUAAAGCUAAAAUGAAAGGCUUUGGUAGUCUAACAUCAAUAAAUGAAAAUGUGGAAGCAAAAAAGAUUCAUAUAAAAAAGAGAAGCAAUUCCAGCGAUAACUUGUUUAAAUUAGAGGAUACAUCUAAAUCAUAUCCUUUAGAAUUUAAACUUCCACCCAUAUUAGGUUCGAUAGUAGAUAGUUUAACUAGUAAUAAAUUCGAGGAUAGAUUGUCUAAGAAUGAUAAAGAAAAUAUACGUAAAACAAAAAUGCUUGGUGACAUUGAGAACACAUCGGAUAGCGAAUCAGACAGUUUAGAAAGUCAUGAAAGUUUAAAAAGUGGUUUAAGAAGUCACUUGUUUACUCCAAACAAUUAUGGUUCGUCUAUAGAUUAUGACAAAUCUACUGUUUGUAAAAAGCUCACUUUAGCAAAAGAUAUCUCUUUGGUUACUGCAGAAAAUUUCAAUGAUAAAGAUAAUGAAAAUCAUGCACAUGAUAAGACAAAUAAAAAAUCUUUCAAAUGCAAUGUAAUGAAUGAAAAUAAAAGUGUAAAUAACAGAUUGGUUCAAAAUAUAAAAGUAUUUAAUAAUCAAGAUGGGCAAAGCGAUUGCCAAUCGAAAUCAACCAUAAGUUCUUCUGGAUAUUGCUCCUUAAGUUCAAAGACUAGUAGUUUAGAUAGUUGUAAGUCAUUGCUAAGUGAUUCUAGCACUUCAUCGAUUCCUAAGAAUACAGUUCACAAAUCUCACGAAUUCGAUAAAGAUAAAAGUAGUAGAAUUAAAAGUGCUCAAGCAAAAAAAGUAGUAUAUUACAAAAGCAAUAGAGCUGCGACAGCUAGAGCAAAAUUUAGAGCCCUUGCUCCUCCGAGUCCACCUCCUCAACAAGUACCACCUAAAGAGAGGGAACAGGGCGGAGAUUACUUAAUAGAAAUUGUCGGUCGAUGCUUGAACAUUUAUGGUCAAGGUGCUUUACGCUUUAUAGAUAAGACUUGGGACGUGUCAAAGGCUCAGGAUGUCAAUGUUGUAAAAUUUAAUUAUGUACAAUUUAACGACGUGGCAAAAAUUUUAAGCAAAUUAAAAAACAGAUUUCCUCAUGCAGAACAUUUCACCUUUAAAGAAACUAAUAUUAGUCUUCUUGGUCAAUUCAAUGCUUUAGCUGAGGUACAGGGAUUGACCAGUAUACAGAUAGAUACAGGCAAUCCUGUUAUAUCUAAGGAUUGGAAAAUGUAUGCUAUAUUCCGAUUAGCUCAUUGGGGACUUGCAAUAAUCAACGGCAAAGAGAUUACAACUGAAGAGAUUGAACGUGCAAAUCAAGAAUAUGCCGGUCUUAUAGAUAUAGUAAUGUGUUCACUGCCAGAUUCUUUAUUACAACCUUUAUUACAAAGACUUCAUCUAGAAAAAGUGCAAAGGCAAAAUGGACAACAGAUUACUGCCAAACAAUUUCUGUUCAACUGUGACCCAGCAUUUAGAAGUGUUGUUGCCAAGGAAGCAUUACAAUGGAGAAAAGGAAGUGUAACACAGCAAAUCGACGUGUUUCCAUUGGCUCGAAAGCUCAAGAAACCCCGCCGCUUUCGCUGACUGCGAACCAAUGAACCACCAUGUUUCUCUUCGUUUUCUUGUUAUGAGUAACUCUACAAAAGAAAAAUCCUUCGUACUAGCUUCUUUGAUUAGAAUCUGCGUGAUGGAAACGUAUCAAUGAUAUACUAGAUUUGAAGUCUGGCACGUAGAGAAAAAUGACACGAUUAAGAUAUAGCAACCCGAUGCAUAUCCUUUUAGAAAUAACGUAGAGUACACAGGAUGUUAACCAGGUGGUUAUCGAGGAAGACCCUGGUGGAAGUCGGCGGUGUCAUUCAUACAUUAAGAAAACAUACUCGAAACUAAUAUUAACUGUGUGUUGGCAACAUCCGAGAGGAUCGUAUUAACGAGCUCUUAGAGUAAGAUCACAGAAAGAAUGCCAUAUGGUUGCAGCUGCUGGCGCACAACGUUGUUGUAAGCACGCGUGACACGUGACCGAGGAAUUCAUCCUAAUGAGCGUGGAACGAAGGGGUGUCAUCUCGUGGACACUUUUUCCUUUUUCCUUCGCUCCUGGACAGUUCAGCCCGAGGGUGUUGUCAAGACGGCAAAUAUGUUGACAGGUCAUUCAACAUCUUUCUCGCUUUAGUCUCGCCUUAGAGAUCACGAAGAAGCUCUGAGAGGCGAUGUUACACCUCCAAAUAUUCAAAUCGACACUUUUGUCUUACAUGAUUCCUUUGAAAAGACAUUGAUUAAAAAGCUGAGGAUUAUAAGGAUACGACAUGCUAUGGCUUUGUACCAAAUUUUCGUUAAGGAAACGUCGCUUACAAAAUGUUUCGAAAUGACACAGAAAUGACACUAAAUGUUACACAGAACUUAUACAUCCAUAUUGCAAAAUACAGAUCGAAUAAAUCGUGUCUACAGUCUACAAAAAUAAAUUUGUUAUGAAUAAAUUAGAUAGCGCGUGAAAAUUUUACAAGAUUUUUGACACACGCGUUUAGAGGCAAAUUUAUCAUUUGUUUCCAUAUAGGCUUCCAUUAACCGCUUUAUAUAACAUGGUUGAAGCAUGAAAAAGUAAAAUAUAGAUAGCCUUGUCUAAAUAUUGAAAAAUAUGUCA